rnacentral:lncRNA from 1 species
AGUAAGCUCUGGAUCUCUGGGCUGGUUUAGGUACAUUUGGCAGAACAAUAAAGCUUUAAAGUUUUAAAGAUUUGAAGCUCCUACAGGUUUUAUGUAAAUACCACAGCUGGUUAAAAAUAGGGACCUUGUUAGUUCUGCCACGGCGGUCCAGGGCGUCUGGGAUGCAGGAGAAUCCCUGCAGGAGACGGUCUCUCCUUGUCCCCAGCUGCAGGAAAAGCUUCAGCAGGAACCGGCAGCCCAGACACGGAGAGCGGCUUGUCCGUCCUGUGCCAGCGGUGCACGGGGAUCUGCGGGGCCGCCUGUCUGUGCAGAGAAACCCAACCUGCAGUUUGUCAGCGGCUGAAAGGAGGGGGAUCAGCCUGACGCUCUUUGUGGCAGUGUUUAGGAUGUUACCUGGCUCCAGACAGUUUCAAAAAAGGAUUCAACAUCUGCAGCAGUGGCAAAAAUUUCUAGAAUGAUUUUUAAGUAUUGCAAAUGGGAAAGCUUAGGGAUAGAUAUAACUCCUCCAGUUUUGUAUCCAAAUUGUUAUCUUGCUAAUAAAGUUAAAAGGAAAUGUUCAGCAAUGAUGGCAUGAGAAUGAGGAAAGAAAAUUGUUUUACUUUCCUUUUCUAGUAGCAUUUUUGGGGGGCGAGAAACGGCUUUUGGUUCUAAGAGUCAUCAAAUCAAAUUUCUUUUUCCAGCAAAGCCAGACUUUUUGUGACAUGGUGGAAACUUGCCGGUUUCUGGUGUUUUGCUGUAGGAAUAAAAGAGCUUUCAGACACAAGUCCUGAUUCUGUAAUUGAAUCUUCUUGGGAAGAGCUCCAGGGAACUGUUGCUGAGAUCAGUGAGGCUUUGCGUGGAAACAGAUCUGGGCAGAUCUGAUUGCCACAUCUUCACCUACACUCCUUAACCUCUUCUGAUUUGCAUGUGAAAUCAGGCAGUGCUUCCAGAUUCCUGGCUGUUGAUUUAUGAGUAUUUCUAAAUUAUGAUAGCUGAGUGAGCACCAUGAUCUGGGAGACUUGUUCAGUGCUGACUCCUCAUUGCUGCUUAAUUGAAAUGGUUUUUAUGUUGACGUUCUACUGGUGAUAUAUAGAGCAAGGAGACCAUCAGCUGGACUAUAAAGCAAUCUUGUACAAUUUCUAAGCAAAGGCUGCCAGCCUGCCUUUGAAGAAUACUUACAGAGUACUAAGUUUUCCAAAUUGUUUGGUGGCAUGGGAACAUACGACUUUAAUGGUCAUGGAAAAAUCCUAGCUCAGCACCUCUGAAUUUCACUGUAUGACCCCAGGGACAGUAAGAUUCACGUGUCUUAGGAUAGAAGAGAUAUUGGAAGCUUAACCUCUCUGUUUGAGAAUGGAACUUAGGCCUGGAAGUGGACUCAGCCCUUAAUGCUGCUGGGAUGCUGCUGCGGGCAUUUUGUCAUGACGGAUUGUGUGAUAAGGGGAGUUGUCUGCUGUGAAAUGCUCUGAUUUAACACAGGCCACUGAACAGUCACCAGGUAGCAAUUUUUAAAAUUAACUAACCAGAGAUGGAUUCAAACCAGUGAAGUUCCUAGCAAUAAAAGGUGCAAGAAUGUCUUACCAGUAAGGAAGGACAGUCCUACCCAGAGGCGCAGGAAUUGCCCUGGAAAUACUACUUUUCCUUUUAGAGAUUAAAGAUGCCACCCAUUAUCACCACCAAACCCAGCCCAGCUGGGCCUCGGCAGGGUGCACAGGUCAGUUCACAAAGCCAAAGGUUCUUGGGGCAGCAGAGGGAUCCACCUUUAUGUUUUCUGCUGUGGUCUCACACUCUUUUGACUAGACUUUGCACCAACACGUUACCACUGAGGAGCAGAUGCCUGUGCUGAAGUCAAGAUCUGCUCCUUUAAAAACUGUUAUUUUAGUGUGUGAUUGAAAAUCACAGAAAGCAGCAAAGAAAUGUAGCUCUCCUGUCCUCUUCCUUCCAUCUUGCUGAGUUGUUCCGGUCUAAAAGGAUUAAUCCCAAGUGUGCAGGUAUGCUGACCUGGCCCCUCCACUGAGGAUGGUAAUUAGCGUGCUCACCUUACUGCCCUUUUUCUGAAGGAAAAGAGGGCUACUAGAUAAUACAUGUGUUUGCCCACUCAUCCCUGGUAAACUCCUAAGCCAUAAGCAAAUUUUAGUCAAAUGUGGAAGAGGAGCAGCAUCCUCAAGCUUGUUCCUUUGAUUUUCACAAGAGUUAGUAGAGAGAGACCUGCUGGGAAGUGGCAAGUCGUGAGCUUUCCCUGUCAGACAUCAGCUAGUCGAGCUGUAGAUCAGUACUGUGUUUUUGGUGCUACUCAUGAAGCUGCUUGGAGAAACAAAGCCGGGUCAGGAUCAGCUCUGCCUCCUCACUCCAAACAAGCCACCAGAGAGUAACUCCUCAUUCUUGUAUGCCUGAGCUGGAUUUUUCCUGGAACCCUAAAGGUGAGAAACUUUAUAAUCCACUCUGGGUGUAAAGCAUCACCUCACUCUCUGAAGCGCUGGCCCUUUGACAGCUGUUACACACGGGGUGACUGGGCAACUGUUUUGCACAGAGCUCAGAUAAAAGCACGGGCAUUGCUAAC